rnacentral:rRNA from 1 species
AGCGGCCGUCGAAGGUGAAACCAAUGACUGGGGUGAAGUCGUAACAAGGUAGCCGUAUCGGAAGGUGCGGCUGGAUCACCUCCUUU